rnacentral:tRNA from 1 species
GUUCAUAUAGUUUAUAAAAAACGUUACAUUUUCAAUGUAGAAAAAAAGGAAACUUUUUUAAACU